CCUACGGGGGGCAGCAGUGAGGAAUAUUGGUCAAUGGACGAGAGUCUGAACCAGCCAAGUAGCGUGAAGGAUGACUGCCCUAUGGGUUGUAAACUUCUUUUAUAAAGGAAUAAAACGAGGCACGUGUGCCUUUUUGCAUGUACUUUAUGAAUAAGGAUCGGCUAACUCCGUGCCAGCAGCCGCGGUAAUACGGAGGAUCCGAGCGUUAUCCGGAUUUAUUGGGUUUAAAGGGAGCGUAGAUGGGUUGUUAAGUCAGUUGUGAAAGUUUGCGGCUCAACCGUAAAAUUGCAAUUGAUACUGGCAGUCUUGAGUACAGUUGAGGUAGGCGGAAUUCGUGGUGUAGCGGUGAAAUGCUUAGAUAUCACGAAGAACUCCGAUUGCGAAGGCAGCUUACUAAACUGCCACUGACGUUGAGGCUCGAAAGCGUGGGGAGCAAACAGGAUUAGAUACCCUUGUAGUC
rnacentral:rRNA from 1 species